GUUACUCAGUUGUCCAUGCUCCUACAAAUUCUACAUUUUUUGUAAAGCUGCAACAAGUUGAAACCCUAUAAUUAUUAACAUUUGAUUUUGAAUGAUGUAAUUCAAAUACAUGAAUAAGUAACAAAAGCAGAAAUAUAUUAAUUAAGACAUUACCUUUUUGUUGAUUGUUUACUGAUCUAUAAAUCAUUUUGCAUUCUCAUAAUUGAUCAUCAUAACUUGGUAUACAGUGGAUGUGUGGCUGUAGAUAACUUUCUGAAGUCAAUUUAAAAAGGCAAAAGUUAAUAAAUGCUAAAUUGGUCAAAUAUACAUUGUUGUAUUUUCACCAUUUUGAUCUUAUUUAGGCAUUUCAUAACUUGAGGGAAAUUUACGUAUACUGAUGUUUCAAAUCAAAUAUGAAUUUAUUAAUGACAGCUAAUCAUUUUAUAAAGAUUUUUUAUAACAAUAUUUAUUUAUAUAAUAUCAAUUUAAUACAUUUAUUUCGUUACACCUACAUCACUGAGCGCAAGGGAGUGCAGCCAACAAAUACAUUCAGGUGUGUUUGACUUAACACCGAGAUGCGCAGACAGCACGUGGUAUGACAUCAAGUACCGCGAGAGUUUGGGAAAGCCCCGGAAAAGGUUUGAACUCGCGGUACUUGAUGUCACGAUCGGUUUGCGAGUAGAUCAGCAUGAAGUCAAACACAUCUGAGAGAUGUGUGGGCUGCCUGCACUCAACGUUGGGAUCAUUCAAUAGAGUGUAACCUCAAUCGGUUUUUGCAGCUUCUGGGUCCCGUGUAGAACGAUUUUUUGUUCUUUUCCAACUCGAUUUUUAACUCCCUAAACUAGUAGGAUGUUCCAACGGGUGAAGCAACAGUGCUGACGGCAGUUUCAGUGUCAAGUUUUCAUGCCAUGACCACUGGGGCGGAAACCAUUAUGACAUUGCCUUGGACAUCAAACUAAACCAUCUCAUUCUGGCUUUUGAGGUGGAUUCUAACCUCGAAAUCUCAGAAGGACAGGUCUAAGAUGGACGCAGCCUCCAUAGGAUGCAACCUUGCAUUUGAGAAACACCCAUAGAACGGUCAACUUACCCCAUACUCUAACCUGAAUGCAGGGAUCAUAAAACUUUAUCUUUUACCUUAAUUGUUAGAUGGGUGUUGAUACCAAACUUUUUUUUCUCGUCUACCCAAGAGAAAGUCAUGGGUUCUGCUGCUAAGGUUGUCAUAAAAAUUCUGGCUUGAUGUUUGGUCCACCUGUUAGCUGGCUCUGGUGCUUGGUAGUCUUCUCAAACCUCUGAAUCAAGACCACCAUGAGAGGCCUUCUGAAGACCAUCAUUACGCUUCAGAUCCAGUUGUCUUUACUUUGAGAUAGAACUGAACUGGAGUCUAUGAACUAAUGCUGUGUUCGAGACAACUUGGAUGUUGGAUAUUAUUGACCUUAAACCCGUAAGAAGUCAGGAACAGGAAACAAAGUGGAGUAUCCGACCUCUCAACUUGGACCAGAUCGAUCAACACCGACCUCAACGAGAUGCGUCAUUUGACAUUGCAGACAAGGUGGUGGCUAGCCUUUCACAGCCUUACAUGAACCGCAAACAAACUUUAAACAGCACGUAAUAUAGAUGAACAUGAAUGUUAAAUUAUCCAGUAACCGUUUUCUGCCAUAAUUGGCACAAGAGCACAAACUUCUCCUGGCGUCUCAUUAUGUGGUAAACACGCAAAUGUGAUACGUGAUUGACUGGAAUGCAUUGAGGUCGGAGGUAGGAUAUUUAAUGACAUAACAUCAGAAAUCAGAGUUGUCUGUAACACUGCACAAUAUUUCACCUAAUUGUUAGCACCUGAUUAUCAUGUUUUUAACACAACCAUUGAUUGGUCACACGGAUGAAGGCAGCAAGCAGAGACAUUUGUCCUUUGUAUCUCUCUCAAAAAAAUUAAUCUAUAUUUAAUGUUAAAAAACACUUACAGUAGACUGUGUUAGAUAACUGUGCUCUUGGAAGUCAGCUUAAGUGAACAAAUGGUAAUGUUAAUGAAAAGUUCAUUUUUGUCACUGUUGCAAACUAACCACCACACAGAAUAUGAAGAAUAGCCAGAACUGUGGUAAUAAGCUAGCCCUAAAAUGUUGGGAGAAUCUUGAUGUAUUGGACACAGGUGUGUAGUAUCUGUUAUAUAUUGACGGUUGACAGGUUUGUUUGCAUGUAAUUGCAUUAUUAAUUUGGUGUUGAUAGUCCAAUGUUGAUUUGGGAGAAAUAUUUAAUUUCUUUUCUUUUUAGAUCCUUUCUCUUUUUAAUGCAGCACUUAAGGAUGAACCACCCUGAUCUACUAAGAUGCACAGAUUCAACUCUGGCCCAGCAUCAUCCCCAUACCUCAUCUGCCAUCAGUUCAAUUUAAUGUCUGUCAAUUGCAAAUGGUAUUUAUUUCAGUUAUAUUACAGCUUAAUAUUAAAGGAAUAGUCUACCCUUUUGCCAUAUUAAACUAUGUUAUUACCUCAACCUAGAUGAAUUAAUACAUACCUAUCUUUUUUCAAUGCGUGCACCGUACAGCGCGUUGUGAAUGUGUUAGCAUUUAGCCUAGCCCCAUUCAUUCCUAAGGUACCAAAAAAGUUUUAUUUUGUGGCACCAUACUUACUGGUAUAACUCCUCAUGUAACAGUCUUAAAAUAGGGAAAACACGAAAGUGUUUGGUGGCUUCCCUGUUUGGUACCAUAGGAAUGAAUGGGGCUAGGCUAAAUGCUAACACAUUCACGACGCGCUGUACAGUGCACAAUAGAUAUGUAUUAAUUCGUCUAAGUUGAGGUAAUAACAUAGUUUAAUAUGGCAAAAGGGUAGACUAUUCCUUUAACUUUAAUUGAGACUAGUAUUGUGUAAAGCUGGGGUUUCCAAACUUCUCAUUUCAAAACCUAUUAGACAACUGUAAUCUAUUCUAGACCCACUAAAAUAUUUUUAAAUAUACAUUUUUUAAUGGGGUAAAACACAUUUGUUCUCUUUCAGUGGAGUCAUUUUAUUUUCAUAAUAUUUCAUAAUGUAAAGUAAAUAUAAGUUUAUUUGCAAUACCAAAUAUUUUAUGGUAUAUUCUUUCAAAACCAUUGUCAUUGUUAAUUAUUAAUUUGGCCAAACUGUUGUUGCAUCAUUACGGUGUGCAACACACCUUAACCUACUGUGUGACGGACAAGUAGGUCCUCCUGACACACAAUUUAAAAUCCCCUGGUGUACCGAAUGUUGUAUUGUAAUUAAAGUUGCAUCUAAGUCUUGUGUAA